UUCGUCGAAUUAUUAUUCUCAUCGCUAGGCAUUUCGCUAUUAGCGUGUUUCGUGUGACGUAGGGCUGCGUAAGCAGUCAUUGGUGGGGUUCGCGUUGUAGAUUAGGCUCGGCGCUAUAUAAGCGCUAGCGCUGUGCGGGUCCUUCUUUUUCCUUGGUCUUCAGCCUCGAUCAGGUUCAAGUUGCGAUUUUGUUGGGGUCCUUGGCAUUGAGGACACGUUCGGUGCCGUUGUUGCCGGUGAUACCACGUAGCAGGAUUUUGUGGUUGGCUGCUAGGACCCCAACAUCUACGAUAAAGAACUGCUCAACCUCUUCGGAUCAGCAUCGGGAUUCUUCCCUUUAACCGAGCAAAAUUUUUUUAAGCCCGGCUGACCUCGUGAUGGAGAUGGAGUCGUGGAGUUUGGACAACUGAACUCGAGAGACUGGCGGGUGAUCAUCCUGGGAGUUUCUGCGAGCCACGUGUCACGGAGACCCGCUAUGAUAAGUGACCUCAGUUAACCUCCACCCACGUGGCAGAAACAAUCCGAACCCUCAGUGUAGUUUAAAUUAAUAUUAGAUUAAUCAAAAAUGUAUUUCGGUCCAUAGUGUAGAUUUAAGAUAAUUUCGGGUUGUGUUAAACUCGUUCGUUUAAUCCAUAAAAGGAAGAUAAAGUUGUUUGUUCAUUCAAAUUUGUAUUAAGCUUAAAAUUGUGU
rnacentral:misc_RNA from 1 species